rnacentral:lncRNA from 1 species
GGAGAUUCCAAAGAGGUAACAUGCAUUGCUAUCGAAGGUCGUUUGACCCCCUAAAUAAUUCGCCGAAGUUGGAACUUCGACACAGUUUUUCCGUAGUGCCGAAAAAUUUGUCAAAAUCCGAUUCUUCCUCUUUUAACCGCCUCUACAACCCUUACCCGACCCCUCUAGACUAUAUCCACCCUUUGUAUAGCCUAAUGUCAUCAAAAGACUAGAUAGGGACGGAUAUUUACCUUUUUCUUUUUGGAAAUCGAGGUCCUUGCGUAGAGGGGAAGGAGAUCUACACUUUUCCCUUCAGCUGGCAGCGCAACCG